ensembl:scaRNA
GGCCUCUCUCCCAUAGAGCUGAGGGAGGUCCCUAUUCUCCUCAGCCAGGACUGGAGGCCAAGAUCACCCCUUAAGGAUCACUGUCAGGGCUGCCAUGAGUGGGGCAGCCUUGUUUUCCUGCCUCAGACACCU